rnacentral:rRNA from 1 species
CCUACGGGAGGCAGCAGUGGGGAAUUUUCCGCAAUGGGCGAAAGCCUGACGGAGCAAUACAGCGUGAGGGAAGACUGCCUAUGGGUUGUAAACCUCUUUUUUCAGGGAGGAAUAAAUGACGUGUACCUGAAGAAUAAGCAUCGGCUAACUCCGUGCCAGCAGCCGCGGUAAGACGGAGGAUGCAAGUGUUAUCCGGAAUCACUGGGCGUAAAGCGUCUGUAGGUGGUUUAAUAAGUCAACUGUUAAAUCUUGAGGCUCAACUUCAAAAUCGCAGUCGAAACUAUUAGACUAGAGUAUAGUAGAGGUAAAGGGAAUUUCCAGUGGAGCGGUGAAAUGCGUAGAUAUUGGAAAGAACACCGAUGGCGAAAGCACUUUACUGGGCUAUUACUAACACUCAGAGACGAAAGCUAGGGUGGCAAAUGGGAUUAGAUACCCCAGUAGUCCUAGCCGUAAACUAUGGAUACUAGAUGUUGAACAGAUCGACCUGUGCAGUAUCAAAGCUAACGCGUUAAGUAUCCCGCCUGGGAAGUAUGCUCGCAAGAGUGAAACUCAAAUGAAUUGACGGA